rnacentral:rRNA from 1 species
GUUUGAUCCUGGCUCAGGACGAACGCUGGCGGCGUGCCUAAUACAUGCAAGUCGAGCGAGCCGAACUAAUUGAUUACCUUCGGGUAUGAAGUUAGGGAAGCGAGCGGCGGAUGGGUGAGUAACACGUGGGUAACCUACCCUAUAGUCUGGGAUACCACUUGGAAACAGGUGCUAAUACCGGAUAAAAGGAGAGAUCACAUGAUUUCUUUUUGAAAGGCGGCGUAAGCUGUCGCUAAAGGAUGGACCCGCGGUGCAUUAGCUAGUUGGUAAGGUAACGGCUUACCAAGGCAACGAUGCAUAGCCGAGUUGAGAGACUGAUCGGCCACAUUGGGACUGAGACACGGCCCAAACUCCUACGGGAGGCAGCAGUAGGGAAUCUUCCACAAUGGACGCAUCCUGAGAUGGGAGGCAAACGCGCGUUAGGUGAAGAAGGUUUUCGGAUCGUAAAGGCUCUGUUGUUGGUGAAGAAAAGAUAGUGAGAGUAACUGCUCAUUAUUUGCGGUAAUCAACCAGAAAGUCACGGCUAACUACGUGCCAGCAGCCGCGGUAAUACGUAGGUGGCAAGCGUUGUCCGGAUUUAUUGGGCGUAAAGCGAGCGCAGGCGGAAAGAUAAGUCAGAUGUGAAAGCCCUCGGCUUAACCGAGGAAUAGCAUCGGAAACUGUCUUUCUUGAGUGCAGAAGAGGAGAGUGGAACUCCAUGUGUAGCGGUGGAAUGCGUAGAUAUAUGGAAGAACACCAGUGGCGAAGGCGGCUCUCUGGUCUGUAACUGACGCUGAGGCUCGAAAGCAUGGGUAGCGAACAGGACUAGAUACCCUGGUAGUCCAUGCUGUAAACAAUGAGUGCUAAGUGUUGGGAGGUUUCCGCCUCUCAGUGCUGCAGCUAACGCAUUAAGCACUCCGCCUGGGGAGUACGACCGCAAGGUCAAAACUCAAAGGAAUUGACGGGGGCCCGCACAAGCGGUGGAGCAUGUGGUUUAAUUCGAAGCAACGCGAAGAACCUUACCAGGUCUUGACAUCUAGUGCCAACCUAAGAGAUUAGGCGUUCCCUUCGGGGACACUAAGACAGGUGGUGCAUGGCUGUCGUCAGCUCGUGUCGUGAGAUAUUGGGUUAAGUCCCGCAACGAGCGCAACCCUUAUUAUUAGUUGCCAGCAUUAAGUUGGGCACUCUAAUGAGACUGCCGGUGACAAACCGGAGGAAGGUGGGGAUGACGUCAAGUCAUCAUGCCCCUUAUGACCUGGGCUACACACGUGCUACAAUGGGCAGUACAACGAGGAGCGAACUUGUGAAGGCAAGCGAAUCUCUGAAAGCUGUUCUCAGUUCGGACUGUAGGCUGCAACUCGCCUACACGAAGCUGGAGUCGCUAGUAAUCGUGGAUCAGCACGCCGCGGUGAAUA